GUAAUUUUGAAGUCUCGAGAGAGGCUGAAAUCUGACUUUGUGGUAUAAAUGAAAUUAGAAUUGGGUUUAAAGAUGAUGUUUUCGAAAGGGAGCAUCGACCCAAAACUUUUAUCAACUCUUUUAUUAUUUGACUGAUCAAGUUUAAUAACUCAUUAUCGAGUUAAAAAAAAGUUUUAAA
rnacentral:misc_RNA from 1 species